rnacentral:rRNA from 1 species
AUUGCCCUAGUAACGGCGAGUGAACAGGCAAGAGCUCAGAUUUGAAAGGCACUUUUGUGCCGUUGUAUUCUGAAGUUAGGGUCCUGAGAAACGAUGCUUAAGUCUUCUGGAAAGGAGCGCCAUGGAGGGUGAUAGCCCCGUCUAGCAUUGACCUCAUAUAGGAUCUUAACAUGGAGUCGAGUUGUUUGGGAAUGCAGCUCAAAUGGGUGGUAUGCUCCAUCUAAAGCUAAAUAUCUGCGAGAGACCGAUAGUAAACAAGUACUGUGAGGGAAAGAUGAAAAGAACUUUGAAAAGAGAGUGAAAAAGUACGUGAAAUUGUUGAAAUGGAAGGGUAGGCCGCUAACCAUGUAGAGCCGUGUUUGGGGGGAAGAUAAAUGCUGUAGAAUGUAGCUCCUCGGAGUAUUAUAGAUGCAGUUCAUAUUCCCACCCGAGCGCGAGGAUCUCAGGUUCUACUAAAUGGUGGUCUACCACCCGUCUUGAAACACGGACCA